UACAGAGGUCCCAAGCGUUGUUCGGAUUCACUGGGCGUAAAGGGUGCGCAGGUGGGUUUGCAAGUUCGAUGUGAAAGCCCCGGGCUUAACCCGGGAAUGGCAUUGGAUACUGCAGAUCUGGAGGAUCGGAGGGGGGACUGGAAUUCUUUGGUGUAGCAGUGAAAUGCGUAGAUAUCAAGAGGAACACCAGUGGCGAAGGCGAGUCCCUGGACGAUACCUGACACUGAGGCACGAAAGCUAGGGGGAGCAAACAGG
rnacentral:rRNA from 1 species